AAUGUUGUCAGCACCGUACUCCACGUGGGAAUCAAACCCAUAACCCUAAUGUUGUCAGCACCGUACUCCACGUGGGAAUCAAACCCAUAACCCUAAUGUUGUCAGCACCGUACUCCACGUGGGAAUCAAACCCAUAACCCUAAUGUUGUCAGCACCGUACUCCACGUGGGAAUCAAACCCAUAACCCUAAUGUUGUCAGCACCGUACUCCACGUGGGAAUCAAACCCAUAACCCUAAUGUUGUCAGCACCGUACUCCACGUGGGAAUCAAACCCAUAACCCUAAUGUUGUCAGCACCGUACUCCACGUGGGAAUCAAACCCAUAACCCUAAUGUUGUCAGCACCGUACUCCACGUGGGAAUCAAACCCAUAACCCUAAUGUUGUCAGCACCGUACUCCACGUGGGAAUCAAACCCAUAACCCUAAUGUUGUCAGCACCGUACUCCACGUGGGAAUCAAACCCAUAACCCUAAUGUUGUCAGCACCGUACUCCACGUGGGAAUCAAACCCAUAACCCUAAUGUUGUCAGCACCGUACUCCACGUGGGAAUCAAACCCAUAACCCUAAUGUUGUCAGCACCGUGCUCCAACCAACUGAGCCACCUCAGAACUGUCACACCGUGAGCAUGAUGAAGAUAUCACAGUGAGUCUUUUUUCUAACAGCUCUCCUGCAGCUCUCCUGUACCCCGACCUCUUGUCGCUACGGAAACAGUGCGCUGCCCUCACAAUGCUCACUCGCUCUGGGGAGAGACGCAGAGGAGAGGAGACGAAGGAGGAGGGAAGCUCCGAGCUGGACAGAGGGAUGAAGAGGGACUGGCAUGCAAGAGAUCCCAGGACAGUCAGCAGCAGCCCCUCCAUCUGAAGCAUCAGGUAUGGCAAGGUCACCUUCUACUCUCUGCUGCCCCUGGAGGCAUACUACAGUACUGCAGCUUACAUGCUCUCCAAACUGCUAGAGCUGGUGUCUGCUAAGGAGCAGGCUGUACAUCAGGUUGAAUCCUACAGCCCCAUUACCAUCAUCCCUGGACCAUUCAGCACCGUGCACGCCUGAGGAACACAGAGGAUGUCCACACACACACACACACACACACACACACACACAGGGGAUGUGUGCGGCCGUACUUUUAAAACUAAUAAUGUUCAUUCAUGUCCCAAAUUUCAUUCCUGUGAGGUCAUCACCUCAAACGGUUUUGUAGCACCACACGAGGACCUCUUGAGUUUUGUAACAUUUUUUGUAAAACAUUUAGUGAAGCCUUUUUAUAACAAGUGAAACUGAGUUAUUAUUGAAAGGUAGUUGUUAAUAUUUUAAUU